rnacentral:rRNA from 1 species
AAUGAACGCUGGCGGCGUGCCUAACACAUGCAAGUCGAACGAGAAAGGGUAUUUCGGUACCCGAGUAAAGUGGCGUACGGGUGAGUAACGCGUGGGUGACCUACCCUGGGAUCUGGGAUAACACUGCGAAAGUGGUGCUAAUACCGGAUACGAUCCUGCAGCGAUGCAGGGUGAAAGUCGGCCUCUCGAAGAAGCUGAUGUUCUGGGAUGGGCUCGCGUCCUAUCAGCUAGUUGGUAGGGUAAUGGCCUACCAAGGCGACGACGGGUAGCUGGUCUGAGAGGAUGAUCAGCCACACUGGCACUGAAACACGGGCCAGGACACCUACGGGUGGCAG